UUGGGCUCUUCUUUAUGCAGUUGAUUUGCAUG
rnacentral:piRNA from 1 species